rnacentral:rRNA from 1 species
CAGCCGCCGCGGUAAUACGAAGGGUGCAAGCGUUACUCGGAAUUACUGGGCGUAAAGCGUGCGUAGGCGGUGAGUUAAGUCUGCUGUGAAAUCCCCGGGCUCAACCUGGGAAUGGCAGUGGAUACUGGCUCGCUAGAGUGUGUCAGAGGAUGGUGGAAUUCCCGGUGUAGCGGUGAAAUGCGUAGAGAUCGGGAGGAACAUCAGUGGCGAAGGCGGCCAUCUGGGACAACACUGACGCUGAGGCACGAAAGCGUGGGGAGCAAACAGGAUUAGAUACCCCCGUAGUCCCUGUCUCUUAUAA